UACGUAGGGGGCGAGCGUUGUCCGGAUUUAUUGGGCGUAAAGAGCGUGUAGGCGGCUUGGUAGGUCUCGCGUCAAAACCUGAGGCUCAACCUCAGUUCGCGUGGGAAACCACCUAGCUAGAGUCCGGAAGAGGAGAACGGAAUUCCCAGUGUAGCGGUGAAAUGCGCAGAUAUUGGGAAGAACACCAGUGGCGAAGGCGGUUCUCUGGGACGGUACUGACACUGAGGCACGAAAGCGUGGGGAGCAAACAGG
rnacentral:rRNA from 1 species